AAAAUUUGCAGCCGCCACAGCCUCCUUGCCUUCUUCUCCCUCGUGCAGCAGUCCUCCCACGCACAGCAGCCAGCACAGGGAGCUCAGCUCCACCUCUCCCCAUGGCUGCGAGCUCCCUUCUCCAGCUGCGCGACGCCCUCCCUGCUCCUCCUUGUGGCGAGCGGCUGCAGCAGGGACUCCCAUGGCCGGACCUCUGCUCCUCUCUUCACGGCGCCCCUUCUUCCUCCUGCUUCACGGCAGCAAGCACCUUCCAUGGACGCGAGCUCCCAACCAUGGCGCCCCAAUCCCUUCUUCCCCCUACUUGGAGCUUCCCAUGGCGCCCCCUUCUCUCCCCUUGGUCGUGGCUUCCUCUGCUCCUUGCUCCACGACGCCUAGAUUUUUCAGCAGAGAGCUUUUUCCCCAUGGCGCCACCCCCUGCUUGCAUUCCUCCCUGGCGCCCAGAAAAAUUGCAGAUCAGCGCCCCUGCUCCUCUUCUAUCUACUGUGCAGCAGCGCUCACCUCCCGUGGAAAACCAGCCGGCUUCCUGCCUCCAGCAAGCCGCUUUUGUUCCCUGCACGCGAGCUCGCUGCGGGGUGCCCUAGCCGCUGCUCGCCCCGACCACAUCUCCAUGGCCAAGCAGCCCCCUUGCAGCGAGCUUCUCCUUUUCCCUCGCUGCGCAGCUCCUCGGCGAAACGCCACUGUUCCUGCAGCCACGACGUCCAAGUUCCUGCGCCCAGCCCUCCGAUCCAAAAACAGCAGCCCUGCGCAAAGCCCCUUCCCUUGCUCCUUUCCGAUGUGCGCAGGGUGCUCGACGAACUGUGCAGCAGCCUCGACGGCUCCGCGCGCUGCCGGCUUGCUGUUUUGUUGCGCAGUGAGCAGCACGCCGUGAUGCCCGUCGGUGGUUUGCUAUUUUUUUGCGCAGCCCCGUCGUCGUCGUUGUUCACCCCGGUGAGACCAUGACAAUCCUUGUUUGUUUCACAUCGGCAUUUUUUUCCGGUGAUUAAUUGUGUAUAUGUGUUGUUUUCUUUUGUUUAUGGAGGAGAGGAACCCCGUGUUUUGCGUGGAGAAGGCAAGCCGCUCGAUGCUCGUCGAUGUUCGUAGCGAUGCACAAAUCGGAAUCACCGUCGUUCUUGCAAACGCCGUUUGGGUUUGUUUAUGGACCGAGAGGUGACGACCGUGCAAGUAAUGUGGUGACAACCACAAGAUGCAGUUGGUGGACAUACUGAAGGAUGGUGGACUUAACCAGUGGAUGCUCGCCAAGCGAGUGCCACCCCGCAAACACUGUCUAAGUGUUAAAUUAAAGGUACUCAUUGAUUUGGUUGAUGGUGUGACUUGGCCUUCAUCUCUGCCACCGGGAUAGAUGGUCGAGUGGGUUACUGCUUCCGCGGGAGAGGACCAGGAGGAGUAGCGUGGCCAGGCUUCGCCAUGUUACUCGGUUUUCUCCGUUAGUUAUUUCCGCUGCAUUAAAAAUUAUGGUUAUUAUUUCUGAAACUCCGAUAAUGUAAUCACUAAUGAUACUUAUUAAAUUUGUGGUAUUAUGUUUU